rnacentral:rRNA from 1 species
GACGAACCACCCAAACGUUAUUCGGAAUUACUGGGCUUAAAGGGUGCGUAGGCUGUGCGGUAAGUUGGGUGUGAAAUACCUCAGCUUAACUGAGGAAUGGCGCUCAAAACUACCGUGCUCGAGGGAGAUAGAGGUGAGCGGAACUUAGGGUGGAGCGGUGAAAUGUGUUGAUAUCCUAAGGAACACCGGUGGCGAAAGCGGCUCACUGGAUCUCUUCUGACGCUGAUGCACGAAAGCUAGGGUAGCGAACGGG